rnacentral:misc_RNA from 1 species
AGCUUUGAUGGCAUAGUAACUUCUCAUGUUAUGGAAUUGAUUUGCAUUNAACACAAACUGUAAAUAAAAGAAAGAAAUGGCAUAAAAAAAAAAAAAAAAAAAAAAAAAA